GAUCCUGGCUCAGAUUGAACGCUGGCGGCAUGCCUUACACAUGCAAGUCGAACGGCAGGCACGGGAGCUUGCUCCUGGUGGCGAGUGGACGAACGGGUGAGUAAUACAUCGGAACGUACCCUGAAGUGGGGGAUAACGUAGCGAAAGUUACGCUAAUACCGCAUAUUCUGUGAGCAGGAAAGAGGGGGAUCGCAAGACCUCUUGCUUUAGGAGCGGCCGAUGUCGGAUUAGCUAGUUGGUGAGGUAAAGGCUCACCAAGGCGACGAUCCGUAGCGGGUCUGAGAGGAUGAUCCGCCACACUGGGACUGAGACACGGCCCAGACUCCUACGGGAGGCAGCAGUGGGGAAUUUUGGACAAUGGGCGCAAGCCUGAUCCAGCCAUGCCGCGUGAGUGAAGAAGGCCUUCGGGUUGUAAAGCUCUUUCGGUGGGGAAGAAAUUGCACAGGAUAAUACCUUGUGUAGAUGACGGUACCCGCAUAAGAAGCACCGGCUAACUACGUG
rnacentral:rRNA from 1 species